AUUGAACGCUGGCGGCAGGCCUAACACAUGCAAGUCGAACGAGUGGCGGACGGGUGAGUAAUGUCUGGGAAACUGCCAGAUGGAGGGGGAUAACUACUGGAAACGGUAGCUAAUACCGCAUACCAUCGGAUGUGCCCAGAUGGGAUUAGCUUGUAGGUGAGGGAACGCCUCACCUAGGCGACGAUCCCUAGCUGGUCUGGGAGGAUGACCAGCGACACUGGAACUGAGACACGGUCCAGACUCCGACGGGAGGCAGUAGUGGGGAAUAUGGCACAAGGGGCUGAAGCCUGAUGCAGCAAUGCCGCGUGGAUGAAGAAGGGCUUCGGGUUGUAAAGUACUUUCAGCGGGGAGGCGUUACCCGCAGAAGAAGCACCGGCUAACUCCGUGCCAGCAGCCGCGGUAAUAC
rnacentral:rRNA from 1 species